rnacentral:misc_RNA from 1 species
UUUUUACUUUGCAAAAAAAAACAUAUUAAAAUUUUCACUAUUAAAUUUAUUAAAAUUCAAAUCAAACCAAAUUCGAAUCAGACCUAAAAUUAGUCUAACCUUAAACCAAAACCAUAAGUUUCAGCUUUUCAGAUUCCUACCGCAAGUUGCCACGGGUCCCACGUAAAGUGAUCGAGAACACUGCCAAUAAGCUUCUAAAUUCAACUUGCAAGUUGCGACGCUGCAUCAAUAAUUAGACCCAUGAAGUUUUCUUCUGAGCUGCAGUGGUCCUAUUGACAAAAAUUUUAACUUACUCGCAACAUCUAACAGUUAACAAAUUUUAGCCUAAUUGCAAUAUCCAUCUAACACUGGACUGCAAUUUUAGAUUACAAUGCACCUAAAAUAAAGACUACUUCCCAUUCUAAAUACACAUAUGAAUAUUUAGCAAACAAUCUCUAAUGACCAAGAGUCAAAACUUAACCUAAAACAGACUCUUACACAACUUCAAGGGAAAAGCGAGGAAAAGGUAGAGGAAGAGCAUACACCAACGCUAUACAAAACAGACUUGAGGUAGAUUACAAUCCAAAAGGCUGCUAGUGCUGGACAAGCAAACAAUUAAGUUAUGCUUGAGAUUGAGGUUCGCUGCCUCCUCCAUUAUUCCAAUUGUGUCUUUGAUAUAAAUAAUUUGCCAGAAUCAGAGGCAACCUUGGACUUGCGUGUGCACAAAUGAUUCAACCACCCGUCUAUCAAAUGCCCUUUGACUUACAUCAGCGGAGAGCACUGACAAAAGUCAUCAAGGAAUCUACAUCCCUCUUCUCUGAGGGAUACUUAAUCGGCCUAGAGGAGUGUUUGGGAAAGAGAAGUAUUGUAGGAAAGCUUCCCAGCUGUAAUUCUUGCUUGGCAAAUUCUUU